GAUGAACGCUGGCGACGUGCCUAACACAUGCAAGUCGAGCGGAGAAGAAGAGAGUGAACUGUUCGGAGUGAACUUUAUUCGGAUCAGCGGCGGACGGGAGCGUAAUCCAUGAGGAACCUGACCUCUACAAGGGGAUAGCCGGGGGAAACUGCGAUCAAUACCCUAUGAGACGACGAAAGCGCAUGCCUUUGGGGUUAAAGAUUUAUCGGUAGUAGAUGGCCUCUUGACCCAUUAGCUAGUUGGUGAUUUAACAGACCACCAAGGCGACGGUGGGUAGCCGGCAUGAGAGAGUGACAGACCACAUUGGAGCUGCGACACAGUCCAGACUCCUACGGGAGGGAGGAGUGGAUAAUAUUGCACAAUGGGGGAAACCCUGAUGCAGCGACGUCGCGUAAGCGAAGAAGGCCUUCGUGUCGUAAAGCUCUGUCCUAUGGGAAGAAAGUGACGGUACCAGAGAAGGAAGCCCCGGCUAACUACGUG
rnacentral:rRNA from 1 species